GACGAACGCUGGCGGCGUGCUUAACACAUGCAAGUCGAACGGAAAGGCCCUGCUUUUGUGGGGUGCUCGCGUGGCGAACGGGUGAGUAACACGUGAGUAUCCUGCCCUUGACUUUGGGAUAACUUCAGGAAACUGGGGCUAAUACCGGAUAGGAGCUCCUGCUGCAUGGUGGGGGUUGGAAAGUUUCGGCGGUUGGGGAUGGACGCGCGGCUUAUCAGCUUGUUGGUGGGGUAGUGGCUUACCAAGGCUUUGACGGGUGGCCGGCCUGGGAGGGUGGCCGCCGACAUUGGGACUGAGAUACGGCCCAGUGUCCUACGGGAGGCAGCAGUGGGGAAUAUUGCACAAUGGGCGGAAGCGUGAUGCGGCAACGCCGCGUGCGGGAUGACGGCCUUCGGGUUGUAAACCGCUUUCGCCUGUGACGAAGCGGGAGUGACGGUAAUGGGUAAAGAAGCACCGGCUAACUACGUG
rnacentral:rRNA from 1 species